rnacentral:rRNA from 1 species
UGAGGAAUAUUGGUCAAUGGACGCAAGUCUGAACCAGCCAAGUCGCGUGCAGGAUGACGGCCCUAUGGGUUGUAAACUGCUUUUAUAUGGGGAUAAAGUGGGGAACGUGUUCCCUUUUGCAGGUACCAUAUGAAUAAGGACCGGCUAAUUCCGUGCCAGCAGCCGCGGUAAUACGGAAGGUUCGGGCGUUAUCCGGAUUUAUUGGGUUUAAAGGGAGCGUAGGCCGUUUGGUAAGCGUGUUGUGAAAUGUAGGAGCUCAACUUCUAGAUUGCAGCGCGAACUGUCAGACUUGAGUGCGCACAACGUAGGCGGAAUUCAUGGUGUAGCGGUGAAAUGCUUAGAUAUCAUGAAGAACUCCGAUUGCGAAGGCAGCUUACGGGAGCGCAACUGACGCUGAGGCUCGAAGGUGCGGGUAGCGAACAGG